rnacentral:rRNA from 1 species
AUUGAACGCUGGCGGCAGGCCUAACACAUGCAAGUCGAGCGGAUGAAGGGAGCUUGCUCCUGGAUUCAGCGGCGGACGGGUGAGUAAUGCCUAGGAAUCUGCCUGGUAGUGGGGGAUAACGUCCGGAAACGGGCGCUAAUACCGCAUACGUCCUGAGGGAGAAAGUGGGGGAUCUUCGGACCUCACGCUAUCAGAUGAGCCUAGGUCGGAUUAGCUAGUUGGUGGGGUAAAGGCCUACCAAGGCGACGAUCCGUAACUGGUCUGAGAGGAUGAUCAGUCACACCUGAAACUGGGAACCGUUCCAGCUCCUUAGGGAAGGAAGAGUUGGGAAAAAUUGGAAAAUGGGGAAAAGCUUGAUCAAGCCAUGCGGGGUGUGUGAAGAAGUCCUUCGGAUGGUAAGCACUUUAAGUUGGGAGGAAGGGCAGUAAGUUAAUACCUUGCUGUUUUGACGUUACCAACAGAAUAAGCACCGGCUAACUUCGUG